GUUGCUGGAUUGAAUAUUUUAGGUCCUGUCUACAGUGUUACUGAUGGGCUUUCAUUUGCCAGUGAGUUUCCCGCACACAAACACGCACUCCCUGGCAAUGAGCUGAAGACCUUCCAUCAGAUGAGCCACGCGUCACUUCCUCCUCCCAGCUGCUGAUGCCUUCUCCACCUGGAUGGCUUUAUAACACGUCUCCCCUGCCUCAGCUCUACAUCUCACUCUUGCAGACACCAUGCUGUUGCUUCCCUUACUCGUUGUGACUUCACUUUGGUCCCGUGGGGAUGCACAGGCUGCACCGGUGCAAAGCCCAGCAGAGAGCAGGCUGGUGGAGGGCAGCCCAGUCACCAUGACGUGCCAGCUGAGCAGUGGAACCACUGUGCACUGGUACAGGCAGCUUCCCGGGGAGCCACCCAAGAGGAUACUGUACAUGUCUGGAUCCUCACCUACCUUCGAUGACAACAAGGACAAAUUGAAAUUUGAUGUGCAGAAAAAUCCUUCCAACAGUGCUCUGACAAUUAAGAAAGCAACCCGGAGGGAUACUGGUACUUAUCUCUGUGCAUAUUGGUAUUACCAAGGCUACACAGCAUUAGAUGGGCAAAGGAAGCCGUACAAAAAGGCAUCUGGCACUCUGAACCUCAAGCUCUCAACUCGUGCCAGAUGCAGAUUCUUUUUAGGCCACCUUUCUCUGGUGAUUUUCUGCAGCAGGAGAGCAAAAGCAGAAGAUUAACAUGGCAAAUGCUAAAUGAAUUAUCUUAACUAACUCUCAGAAUACUUCUUCUGUACUUACACAUAGCUGUAACAUGCAGAAACUGAACUGUCUUAGUCACUUCAGGAUAAAAACCGGUGACUUUGCAGAUGUGGCAAAGAACUGACUGUACUCAGAGCACUCAGCUGACAGUGGGCACAGACUGUGUGCCUGUGGACAACGAGUAGUUGGAAAUUUCCCUUCUUCAUUGAAAGCUGUACAGCUAACAGAGAAACAUAUCUCUGUCUCCUGCAGGCUCUCACUUGAACGGAGGCACACAAGCAAAGCAGUGAGAGAAAGCUACAUGUUCUUCUAGAUCCCCCUUCAUUCUUUCUCUGCUGUCAUUUCAGGUACUACCAACUCCUUCUGCAGCACCGAUGGCUCAAUUUCACUGUGU